GUCUGGUCCAAAGGUAGUGAGUUACCUCUAUUGAUCGUUCAUAGUUACAGCUCGAACGCUUUGUUCUACUCUUUCCCCCUUCUCGCAACUGCACUUGACUAGUCUAAA
rnacentral:Y_RNA from 1 species